GUUAACCUAGGUAUAAAUAUUAAUUUUCUACUAAUAAUCAGCCUUUAAUCCUCCUUCUCAUGGCCCUAGUCAUUCCUCUCCUCCUCUCCUUCUCUUUGAUUUUAAUUUUUUUCCAUUCCUCCAUUGUUGUCGUCGCCUACACCUAGUUUUACCAUCUCUUUCUUUUGUUUCCUUUUUCUUUUUGCCACAAGAUUUGUUAACAUAUUCU
rnacentral:lncRNA from 1 species